rnacentral:rRNA from 1 species
UACGAAGGGUGCAAGCGUUGCUCGGAUUUAUUGGGCGUAAAGAGCGUGUAGGCGGCUUGCUAAGUCUUGCGUGAAAUCUCGGGGCUCAACCCCGAGCGGUCGUGGGAAACUGGCAGGCUAGAGUCCGGAAGAGGAGAAUGGAAUUCCUGGUGUAGCGGUGAAAUGCGCAGAUAUCAGGAGGAACACCGAUGGCGAAGGCAGGUCUCUGGGCAUUAACUGACGCUGAGGAGCGAAAGCAUGGGGAGCGAACAGG